rnacentral:rRNA from 1 species
UACAGAGGGUGCAAGCGUUAAUCGGAUUUACUGGGCGUAAAGCGUGCGCAGGCGGUUCGUUGUGUCGGUGGUGAAAGCCCCGGGCUUAACCUGGGAAUGGCCAUGGAAACUGGCGAACUGGAGUGUGGCAGAGGGGGGUGGAAUUCCGCGUGUAGCAGUGAAAUGCGUAGAGAUGCGGAGGAACACCGAUGGCGAAGGCAGCCCCCUGGGCUAGCACUGACGCUCAGGCACGAAAGCGUGGGGAGCAAACAGG